rnacentral:misc_RNA from 1 species
UGCAGUCGCUUUCUGACUUCAGGCAGUCGUCCAGUCGUGCCGGACGGUCAUCUGUGGUGACGCACGUUUUUUAACGCAGAUAAAAGAAAUAUACUGAAACACACUGGUGUUCCCAAAUGGCUAUGCUGGUGAAGGAUGUACAUCUACCCACAUCACCAGCACAAGAACUUAAUUUGCCAAAGCACAAGGAGUACUUGGCAAGCUAUGGGACUAAAAAAGAUGAUUAUGAGUACUGCAUCACAGAGCAUCUGCGAAUGAGCGGUAUCUACUGGGGCCUGACAGCCAUGGACCUAAUGGGUGCCCUGGACUCCUUUGAUAGGGCAGAGAUAAUUGAGUUUGUGAAACAGUGCCAGUAUUCCUGUGGGGGCUUUGGGGCCAGCAUUCAUCAUGACCCUCAUCUCCUGUACACAUUGAGUGCUGUUCAGAUAUUAUCGACGUUUGAUGCCCUAGAUACAAUUGACAUUGAAAAAACCGUAAGCUAUGUCAAGGAACUUCAGCAGGAAGAUGGCAGUUUUUAUGGUGACAAAUGGGGUGAAGUUGACACUAGGUUUUCUUUCUGUGCUGUAGCAUGUCUAGCACUUCUGAACAAGCUACAUUCUAUCAACAUAGAAAAGGCAGUUGAAUUUGUGGUGUCCUGCAUGAACUUCGACGGUGGUUUUGGCUGCAGGCCAGGCUCAGAAACACAUUCAGGCCAGAUAUAUUGCUGCCUUGGAACCCUGUCCAUACUUGGUCGGCUUCACCAUAUUAAUGCAGACCUUCUUGGUUGGUGGUUAUGUGAAAGGCAACUUCCAUCUGGAGGUCUCAAUGGUCGGCCUGAGAAGCUCCCAGAUGUGUGCUACUCAUGGUGGGUGCUUGCCUCGCUGAAGAUCAUCGGCAGGCUGCACUGGAUAGACAAGGAGAAGCUUCAGAACUUCAUACUUGCAUCUCAGGAUGAAGAAACUGGUGGCUUUGGAGACCGACCGGGAGACAUGGGCCAUCGCGUGCAUUGAUCGGCGAAGAGGAGGAACUCACGACUUUCCAACAACCUCCAUGCCGGUUUUCUUCGUAAAGGCUUUCCCACAUCAGUGAUCAUGCACACCAUGGGCUGGUCGUCCUCGUCUUCUGCGCCUCCCCGUGACGUGGACGGCGUCACGCCGGCGGCUACGCACAGGUUCAGCGCCUGCGAGUCCG